rnacentral:misc_RNA from 1 species
CGACCCUUAAGCCUAGUUGCUUAGUGUUGGGGGCUUCAGUUAUCCUGAACCUCUGAAAUCUAGUGGCGGAGUUGUUGCACACUCUGAGCGUAGUAGAUUUAUCUCGCUUUUGUAGUUGCCUCGACCUCGGCCGUUAAACCCCCUAUUUUAGAA